rnacentral:hammerhead_ribozyme from 1 species
AUCCAGUUGCCCAGUCCCAAAAUAGGACAAAACGCGCGUCAUGGAU